rnacentral:rRNA from 1 species
UACGUAGGGGCCUAGCGUUGUCCGGAUUUAUUGGGCGUAAAGAGCUCGUAGGCGGUUCGGUAAGUCAGGUGUGAAAUCUCCACGCUCAACGUGGAGGCGCCACCUGAAACUGCCGUGACUCGAGUCCGGUAGGGGAGUGUGGAAUUCCCGGUGUGAGCGGUGAAAUGCGCAGAUAUUCGGGAGGAACACCAGUGGCGAAGGCGGCGACCUGGUUCGAUACUGACACUGAGGUGCGAAAGCGUGGGGAGCAAACAGG